UUUGCCUUCUCAAACACAUUUGUCGCUUAGAUGAAGAAUCAAGAGGACUUCGAGAAACAUCAGAAGCAGGUGAAGGACGCGGCAAAGAUGCUGAAACUGGAAGUGAGAGACCAAAUCAGGGCCGGUUUGAAGGAUCUGAGCCAGUCUCCUCCUGAAGCAUCCCACAAUUUGGAACUCAACGGGGGACCGCAGAGCGACCUGGAAAGCCUGAAGGAGAACUAUCCAUUCGCAGGCAGCGAGGCCGGAAUGCGUUCCUCCGAUGAGAAGCUGGACCUCACCAAAGUCCACAUCACGGAUGAACAGUGGCGAGGCAAAGUGCGUCGAGAAAAGCUCCAGCACUAUGAAGACCGGCUCAAGGUAAUAAUGUUUUAAUGCACAGAGGUUGCUUAUUUAAGUGGGUGCAGGAUGGAAUGUUUUUCUAUGUUUUGGACAGGGAGACAUGUAUGUUUAGGGCACAUUUCAGGAAUGGCAUGCCUCAUUUUAACAGAUCUGAGAGUAGUUCCAUCAGUACCUGCCCCUUUGCCUUUACAAUCAUGUAUUAAACCGCAAUCUGGCUGCAUUCAUUCAGGCCCGGCUUCGGCAGUGCAUGUCCAAGCAAGUGGAAGCCUUAAUUCAAGGCAAGCGGCAGACGGAAGGCACUCUUCACAGUCUCAAGAGGCAAGUGGACGCUCUGGACGAACUGGUCAGCAGCACUUCGGCCGAUUCCCCUUCUCCGUCCUUCACCUCCUCCGGCUUUGCAGACCUUUUGCACGAAGAGCUGAACCUCACCAAGAACCAGCUUGCCAGAUCCCCUUCCAAGCCCGCAGCCGGUAUUUCAUCACAGAUUCCAAUUGUCACUCAGUACAACAUGUGAUCUGACAAAACAG
rnacentral:lncRNA from 11 species